CCUACGGGAGGCAGCAGUAGGGAAUAUUGCUCAAUGGGGGAAACCCUGACGCAGCAACGCCGCGUGGAGGAUGAAGGUUUUAGGAUUGUAAACUUCUUUUGUUAGAGAAGAUUCUGACGGUAUUUAACGAAUAAUCAGCGGCUAACUACUUGCCAGCAGCCGCCGUAAUACGGCGGGGGCAAGCGUUAUUCGGAAUAACUGCGCGUAAAAGGUGCGUAGGCGGGGAAAUAAGUCAGAUGUGAAAUCCAGUAUCUUAACUACAGACCUGCAUUUGAAACUGUUACUCUGGAGUGUGGGAGAGGUAGGUGGAAUUCCUAGUGUAGGGGUAAAAUCCGUAGAGAUCAAGAGGAAUACUAAUGGCGAAGGCGAGCUGCUGGAAAAUUACUGACGCUGAUGCACGAAAGCGUGGGGAGCAAACAGGAUUAGAUACCCGAGUAGUC
rnacentral:rRNA from 1 species